rnacentral:rRNA from 1 species
GACGAACGCUGGCGGCGUGCCUAAUACAUGCAAGUAGGACGCAGUUGCGAACGGGUGAGUAACGCGUAGGUAAAUGCCUAUUAGAGGGGGAUAACUAUUGGAAACGAUAGCUAAUACCGCAUACUCGUAGAUGGACCUGCGUUGUAUUAGCUAGUAGGUAGGGUAAUGGCCUACCUAGGCGACGAGACAUAGCCGACCUGAUAGGGUGAUCGGCAACACUGGGACUGGUACACGGCCCAGACUCCUACGGGAGGCAGCAGUAGUGAAUCGUCGGCAAUAGGGGGAACCCUGACCGAGCAACGACGCGUGAGUGAAGAAGAUUUUCGGAUCGUAAAGCUCUGUUGUUAAGGAAGCGGUACUUAACCAGAAAGGGACGGCUAACUCCGUGCCAGCAGCCGCGGUAAUUC